AAAGAAUAAAUAAUAAAUGAGAGUCAAGGGUUCAUUAUAGCAUCAAUUCCAUUGUCCAUCAUCACCAAAACUAUGAAGAUUUCAAAAUCUCCAUUGUUGAGGUGGGAAUAAGGGUUUCUUGAUUGUGUGACUAGUUGUUUAAUUUCUUGAUAUAAUGAUUGUUUUUGUUAAGAUUGCUUGAUUGUAAAUGCAUGCUUAAUUAUCACCCAUAAAAUGCUUGUAUUGUAUUUAAGAUGCUAUUAGGUUGCAUGAAAAAUAAAAAUAAAAAGG
rnacentral:lncRNA from 1 species